UUUCUUUUCUAAUGUUAUUAAAAUAAAAAAUGAAAUUAAUAAAACAGCAAAAAAUGCUUUCAUUAAUGUUACUGAAAAAUAUUGCAAUAUCAUGCUGGCUCGUCAAUUACGGUAUGCAAUUACGAUAGUUUAUCGUAAAAUUGAACGCCUGUUAGAAUGUCAAUUAAGUAAAAAUAAUGUAACAAAAAAAUUUCAUACUUGCACUUAAAAAAAUUAGUACGACGUUUGAACUUCCGUCGUCGUUAUUUGUAUUUUCUAAAUUGCGUCUUGAAACUCUCUCGGGUGAGUCAGCUUGAAGAAGCUCCGACCUCCAAAUUCGACGAGUAAUAAUGAAAGAUGAACUUUGCAUGCAGCUCGAUAUGCUCGAUUUAGAACCCGACCGUAUCAAUGAUUCGGCCGGGCGGGCCAAGGCGACGUCACGCCUAAAUGAGUUUGCAUUGAAACUCAUCGCGUAGCCAAAGUGCAUCGCCAUCGGGACGGACUCAUUGCUGUCAAUUUGUCACCGACGUCUUAUCUCUACAGCUCGUUCUCGAGUCCGAGACUUUUAAUAGAAUUCGUGGUAAAUAUCUGACAGUGCGAUCGAUACGACGACCUAUGCGCCAAGAAUGGCACGGGCGAGAUUUAAAGUACGACGCGAUUUGAUGACGGAAAUAUCUCCCCCUCCCCUCUCCUUCCGAUUUAUACAUUUUAUCCGACGAAGUGUGAAUUUCAUUACAAAAUUCCGUCGACAUCGAGGCAACAUCGCUUUUGUGUUUUACAUGAUAAGCGGUCGUGAAUUUGAAAUAUUUAAAUUAACGUGAUCUAAAUAUAUCUCAAUUUAAUGUGAAAGAUAAAUGCGAGUUAAAAGCGGAAGCUUUCUCACGCGUUUGUACUUUGCUGACUAUUACGUUCGACCGAAAGAUGUAAAUAACGGCAAUAACAACCACGUGUAAUCAAAAAUUUGUAUACAGUAUUUUUAUAGAGUCGAAAUAAUUAUUAACGUGCGAUGGAUGCGCGCUGCGCAUUCGCUCUGGGAAAUUAAAUUGAAAUGCCUUUGCAUCGUAGCUUCUCAUACGUCUAUAUAUAACGAGCAAUUAUAACGGCAUCCGAUCAACAUCGUAUGACUCCGCAUACGCGCGAGUAUAGAGAUGAGCCUCCCGCCAAGCGUCAUUUGCUUUCGCAAUUAUAAACGCACGGAAGAGAGUCCCGCGCCGCAAUUGCGUCUUUUCGCGUAAAAUUUUCCGACUGACGCCCGCACGGCGAGAGAGAGCAGCAGCGUUUUCCCGUAUCGAUGAUUAUUGUCGUUUAACAGAGCUUGGCAAACGGUGCUUGGAGAGAACGGUAACGCGCCCGCGGUGACAGAUUCCCGAUCGCGUGGCGCAGGCAAAUACGGCCGUUUCCUCUUCCGCGUUGCGCGCCACUAAUAAAUUAGCGUUUAUUUAUACGGACUGUUAUACGAACAGACGAUCCCGGGCGGAAAAAUUCACCGUCGACACGUGAAUCGCGCGUACCAUACACAAUGGAAAACUGUUACGCGGCGCCUCGCAGCUUGCAACGCGACGCACCGCUAGGCGCAUCGCGCAUGUGGCGGAUAAAGGGGGUGCUGCACGCACGUGGAAGUGCCCCGAUAAUAAGAGAUCCGCGUCUGUGGAGGUUUAAUGGUAUAAUGCAGCCUUGCGAGACCGGCGCGAUCGGCCGUUACUUUCGAAACGAUUUGAUAGAAAGUGGAUAUCUUUUACCGGAAAUUGCUUUGUACCUAUUAUAAAACUAUCGUGAUACUGGGAACGUUUUUUUUUUUUUUUUUUAAUAAUACACGGGAAAAAAUUUGAUUUUUACAACGAUAUUUUCUAAGUUUAAAAAAGAAGUGUAUGUGAAUUUAUUCAAGUAUUACAUACAUUGAAUGCAGUUGUCGAAACAUGCCCACCUGUAUUUUCACACAGCCGUUCUUUAGUAGUUCGUACGAUAAGUAACGUUUGAUUAGAAUAUCCUCGUAUCUGGUUGUCUGAACUGAAGAAUUAUUGCUAUCGUUUUAAUCUGCAGAUAAAAGGAACAGUAUAUGCUUAAAUAUAUCUUUAAUGUAUAUAGUUGCGGCAUGCAAUUCAAAUACGAAUUCAACCAAGUAAGAUUCUAUUUGACUUGCGUUUAAAUCUUUGGUGAUUAUUUUAAAAUUAUCUUUAAAAUUAUCUUAUAAAAAGUGAUAUUAUCAAUGUUAUUCUUUUUACAUAAAAAUAUUUUUAUAACUUGUAUUGAAAUUCUACUUAACUAUGUUCGUUUAAAGUUAUGUUCAACGACUUAUUUCGAUUCGAUUCGAAUGAAGAAACGACAUUCGUUUUGAUUUGGCGAAGAACUUUGAUUUGUAUAUCUCUGUUUUUUUUUUUUACAUAUAUUUGAUAUUUUGCGUGUAUAUUUUGCCCGAGGUCGAACUGAAUCGCGUGAGUUCCGACGAAGGCCGGAAGGAACUUAAUCGCGAUGAAUUAGGGCAACCGCGGGUUUUUGCGGGAUUCCCGGAAUCCCUGCUUCCUGCAAUUUGUUUCCCUCUCUCACGAAACAGCAUCCUAAGGUUUCGCUUAAGCCUUUGAUAUUAAGGUUAAUCUUCUUGAUCUAGUUUUCUCUCUGGUUUUGCGCCUGGCAUUGGGUCCUCUCACGAUGGGACAUUAACCGCAGUUAAGUACACACAUUGGAAAGUGAGCUUUCUAUCGCUUUUGAUCGCGGAGCGAGUGAGCGAGCGACCGAUCCCGGUAAUAUGCUCGCGAGAUUCGUUUCUGACGCGUCUAAUUAAAUCUGAACUUUAUUUUGAAUCAACUAAUUCGGUUUAACUUGAUCUGUGUAAUUUGAAGAUAAUUUGCUGCAACUUUGAAAGAUUUAUUUGACAGAUAACGAUUUUAAAGUCGAUUUUGUCUCUUCACCGCGAGCUUUUAUCUCACAACGAAAUCACUGUUCUUGUUUCUUCCUCUCUAUUCUUAGAGAAGUAAUGCUUCUUCUUGUUUUAACAAGAGCGAAACUAUCGCGAUCUUUUUAUUACACAUACGAUAUCUUUUCUCUUUUCUUUUAGUAUCGUCGAAACGCUUCGGUCGCGAACCUAAACAUUACGUCUCUUACUCUCCGAUAUAACAAUAUGAAAGUACAUCGUCUGCGGGCAUAAGUUAAUGUUAUCGCAACGUUAAUAAAAAUUUGUCAGAUAACCUCUAUUUUUCUUUUGGAGGGGACUUGCGUUAAUCCUCCAUUGCUCCCGUAUGAGGCGGAUGUUCAGUUCACAGUUCAUUUGAUUUUUCUAAUUACACAGACAUAAAAGAUAAAAGUUGACUCUGAAACUGUCUGAUUUACAAUUAAUCACAACUUUGUUUAUUAGCAUUGGUUAUUUUCACAAUUUUGCUACGUAACAAUUUUUUCUGAGAAAACUGUGUUAUAGCAACGUCGCACUAAUACAGUGACACACGUAUAGGCACGGCGUUCAUAUACGAGAGCGCUUUCAACGUUCGUUUGCCGUACGAGAGCAAUGGAGAAUUAAAAUAGCAUUAUAUCUAACUAACAACAUUAUAUUACGUGUCAUCGUUUUGAUUUAAUGUCAUGAAAUAAUUAUUAUAAUGUUAUGACUGCGCAAAUGACGUAUUCGAAUCUCUUCUCUCUUCACUCGAUGGGGUGGAACGUAAUGGCGUAAAACCAUGGUGGAUAAGCAGGAUGCGGGAUAGGCUGCCCAAUUAAAGUUCCUUCACUUUGAGCGCCCGUAUUAUCGUCUUGGCAAAACGCGGUCGUGAUUUAUCAGCGGAACAAUGUCUUCAGAUGUAUCGUAAACGUCACAAAUUUAUAUGUUUAUGAUGCUUGUAAUUAGUACGUUCCACAUAAAUCCUUCACAAGAUUUACAGUCCAUUCAAACUUACAUCUAACUUACUCUCCAAAUUGCUAUCAUUGUAUUAUCACUAACUUUGCAGUGGUACACUUAUAGCUGGUGGUAAUUGGCGAGUAUUUACCGUCUUAGUGAUUUUCACUUCAGAAUUAGUGAUAAUGACUGAGAAAUCAGUGUAUUUUACUGAUUGACAAGUUAUAAGUAUACCAUUGAUUUUUCGCUGAUUGUAAUAAUUUAAAGAGUACGUUUACUCGCGUAAGAGUUACAGUCUUCAUAUCUUUUAAUAUUCUGUCCGAGGAUAAUAUAAAACGAGUAAUUUCAGUAUUAAGAAGCGACGUUUAUUUACGCUCGCGUGUCACACGUGUAGUUGCUGUCCAUAAGGUAAAAAAUCGCGUCGCAUGUUUUAUAUUUAACGCCGUAACGUCCUUCGAGGAUUUAAUUAAGGGCUCGCGGCACUUUCGUCCCGUUGAUUUAGCUCUUUUUAGCUCUUUUCUCGAGCACACAGACAUAUUCAACAUUGAUAUAUCUCACGGAUUAAUAUUUUACGUUUGACUGGCGUUUAUCGCAUACGUUCUUUCGCGCGUAUACAUUUAAUUAUGCGUUCAAGUCUGAAACGGUACAUAAAUUUUCUCCAUUUAAUUUCUACUCGGCUUGCAAUUAAAUUUUAUAUUUGUAUUAAAAUUAUCAUCUCCAUAUCCCAAAUUUGAUCGAAGAAAUCAAUGUUUUAUCAAAUUAAUACAAUAUAAUACGAAUUAUUCAAUAUUGUUAAAUUGACAUACGACCGUAAAUUAAAUAUAAAUUUAUUUAAUUUUUUAAUCUAAUUUUAAUAUAUUCAUAUCUCAGUUUACGUUUGAGUUGUGUCGAAAAGAUCAUUUGGAUGCAUACGUAAUGUCUUUCAUUUUCAUGUCGGCAACCGUUUGCCAAGGUUAAAAUUCGUAGGCGUGGAAGAACAUGUCCGCGUCGCGAUCUAGCCGGGUUGACAUCCGGCGGACCGGGUUUAACCAGAAACAUUUUACCUAUAAUAACCUCCGGUUCGGCCGCGCGCGACGUUACUCUGUGGACCUCGUAGAUAAUCGCCCUAGAAAGUGAACUCGUUUCUCCAUCUCUCGCCGCUAUUAAUACUCGUUUCGUGCCCGUAGCCCUCUUCUAUUCGCGUUCACGUUGAUCUUUACCAGGACGGCUCGCGUUCGAUUUUACGACGUCGAGGAAGAAACGAGCCCGGCUUACGCCGGCUAAAUAUACGUCGUUUGAAAUUUUCAAAAAGGUCUCUAUACGAGCACGAGAAACUGGCCGUUCGCGCGCGUUUGCAUCCAACGCGAGAAUACUUCGUUAUUGGUAAUUAUACAUGUUAUGAUAUACUGUCGAUGAAAACUAUCCGUAUCUGCGAAACGCUAUCAUUUAUUUCUUUAUGUAACGCGUAAAAAAUACAAUUAUAUGGCAACGCAAUGCGUGCAUUGCGACCGAGUGGUUUGUCGUGGCGAUAAAUUCCCGAUCGUAAUUGCUCUCGAUAUCGUUUCGGGAAUUAUUAUUCUCGCUCUCCCGGCCGCGCGAUGAUAAAGACUGGGGAGGCGAUAGGUCAAAAAAAAAAAAAAAUUAUUUGUAGCUGCCUAUUGCAGGACGCCGGGAGAGGGGUGGAUGCGAAAGAGAGGGAAAAAAGAGUUACGGUGCAAUGAACUGUCGUCCGUGCCACUGGCCGGCCUUGCGCGUGGCAGUUAUCGUACUAUCAAAAGGCAUUAACAAGCGUGCAUACGGUUGAUGGAACGAGCGUAUUACAAUUGUGCUCCGUUAAAGCAACGGUGCAUUUUGCGGAGGAAACCGCCGAUCCGAGCGCUGCAUUGAACGCGGUAUAUCGUGUUAAUGAGAGACAAAUGAGACGCGUAUCCGAGCUUUCGGCGAGUCACGGGCUCAAAUGAGCCCGUCACUUUUGAAAUAAAAAGUCAUGGAGCUGUAAGAAUUAAAGACGGAUAGACGAAAGCACAAAAAAGUGUAUUAACAUAUAAAAAGAAUGAAACUCGAUUGAUAUUAAAUUAUUUGAUUGUGUAAUCAGAUAAAUACAAAAUUGAUCUGUGAUAUUGAAUUAUGAAAUUCUGUUCCGUGGUUAAUUUCAAACUCGUCCAAAUUAAUAGAAAUUAAAAAAUUUGAAGCUUUUGUUUAAAAUAUUAGCAAAGUAAAAAUAAAAAAAUGUUUAAUAAGUUUAACGUUUUCACAAUUCUAAGGUUUUUAUUUUUCUUAUAAUUCUGAAUUAGAUUAAAAUUAAAAGUAAAUGAAAAAUAAAUAAUUAUAAUUGUAUCGCAAGUAUAUAUAAUAGCUGUUUGCAUAUAUAUAUGUAUAUACACAUGAGAGUGUAAUAACAGAAGUUGUGCAUAAGAGUUAAUUAGAGUACGUGGGUAGGAAAAUUUUAUAAAAAAAAUAAAUAUUUGAAUAAUGUUUCGGUAAAGAAUGUGAAUUCGAACGUGCCGUAAUGUCAGUUGUCGUUCCUAUUUAAUUCUCGCCGAUUGUAUAACGCAUAAUGAUAGGAAAUGCGAAGGAUGAUGCGAAGCCAGUUGAAUUUGACGCAAAUCCAGCGUCGUUGUCACGUGAGGGGUUUCAUGGGGUCGUAUUAUCUGUCGGAUUAAUUAAACGUUUGACGGUCGCCCCUCAGUUUUAAUUUCUGACUGCGCGUUAGGUUAGUGUCGUUUGUAUCCGGCUUGUAAUGUCCGUAUUAUGUCACGAUUUACGGAUUACAGUAUCUACCAUGACACAUACGUAAUUGUGAGCGAGUGUGUAUUCUAGAGUCGCAGUGAGGAGGAAAACAUCGAGAUAUCAAAAAUGUAAACUUAGUUUUUCGAGGAUCACGUGUUUACCGCAUAAUUAUCUCGACAGCGCGAGAGACAAUUUGCUGAUUAGUUUGAACGAAGAUAGUUUAGCCAAAUUGUUUGGUAACAAAACAAGAAUAUGUUUUUCUGUUUUAAGAGACCGAGAAAAAUUUUCCAUUUUGCUGAUCUGCCUCGAAUUCAGAUACGAAAAAAGUAAAAAGUUUCGGAUCAUAUAAUUGUAUUCUUAGAAUUUUCUUUUAGAUUUUUUUAAAACUCAGUAAUUCGAAAAAUACAACCGUUUAUUUACCAGUCCACGGAAUCUAUUUAACUGUGCAGCAGUUCAUCAAUUUCCAGAUAAUACUUGACGCCAAAAUAUUUUAAUAAAUGUUUGAUGGUUAAUCUCUUACUAACAACGUAAUAAUCACUCGGCAGUGGGACUUAAAUUUGCACAAGUGGUUAACGCCCGAAUUAAUGUAUCCGCGUAAUAAUAUGGCCGACCGUUUAAGCGCACGCAGAAGUUAUUUAAAUCCCAUACAAUUCGCCGUCGGAGCUCGUCUUUGAAAGCAUCCGGGUAAAUGGUCAAUUAAACUUUAUCGAUUAUAGACGGUUUUUUAUCGCGAUGCACACGUCGAACUACUUCGAUCCACAAUUUUCCUUUUGCCGGCGAAGCGGAAGAUUAUCAGCCUCCACGCGCGCGCAGAUGUUGCAACGCCGGCGGAGGAGGCGUCUUCGGUAUAUCGUCGUUGCCUGUCGUCGUCGUCGUCGUCCUCGACGUCGCAGAUAACCCGUGGUGCAGAUAACGUGGCGCGGCGACGCCGUUAAUUUUUCCACAUAUCGUCGCGUUUAUUCCGUCGAUCGAGGGAAAACGCCAGUCGCCUCCAGGAGGAUCGCAGAUCCCCGCGGUGGUGUCUUUCCACGCGUUGUGAGUGACAGUGAACGCAUCCGGAAUAAACCGUGCGGUGCCGGACGAGAGAAUUAAAUAUCCCUCAGAAACAGAUUUCCCCUGAAUAUCCUGCGGGUAAGAAAUGAGAACAGCGAAAAGUUUUCUUAGAAAUCAUAUACGUAAGUUAUACAAAUUUUAACCUUUUAUGGCGAAUCCACUUGAUCGAUGUUAAUAAAAGAAGAAGAUACGGUAAAUCGAUGAAAAAUAGUCAUAAAUUGAAAAAGAGAAGCGUAUUAAAUUUCUUAAAUAAUUUAUUGCCAAUCACAAUUUCAUCAUGAUUAUAAUUCAGUGUCAGUGUCAACAUCUCACGUAGUUUUUUUAAGUGAGUUUUUAUACAUCCCACAAAUUGUUGUAGACACAUUUCGCGGUUUCGAAACGUUCGAUCAUUAUUUAUGUAUUUUGCGAUAAGUAAAGAUAAUGAUUCUUGAAAUGAAACAUGUAUCUAAUCGCGAGCUACUUAUUCUCGUUAUAUUUGUGUAAAUACUCUAAGGCACAUCAUUUAAAAUAGGUCGUCUAAGUAUAAUAAUCGUUGUUUUCAAAGAUGUCAAACAUACUUUGCACGGAUAAGACGUUCGAAAUCUAGUUACAUGUAGCAACUGCUUUGUCGAUCUCGAUUACGUAACACGCUAUUUUCCAAUAUCAGUAAAAAAAAAUUAAACAUCGUGUUCCUUCAGUGAACUUUUUCUUUUUCAACUAGUAGUCACUUUAUACUUUAUCAUGUAUAUUCAUCUCAUCUUUUUUCCGCGUUUCGCAAAAAUUAUCCAACCUUGUGAGCCCCAUCAAUUUUCAUUUUGCAAGCAAUCCGAAUAUGCAAAUCUCCGACAGAUGAGCAGGAAUAUAAAAUUUGUCCUCAUCCAUUGCAAUAAAUUUAUUCGUCUAUAAUUAUUUGAAAUGUUACAGCCGGGAAUUUUCGUUAAAUGAAUGAGCUGCAGCAUAUGAACCUUCUUAUCAAUAACAUUUUUAAAGAUAUUGACCGAGCGUUUCGUUUCCAAUCCGCAUAGUCGUAAGACGACGUUGCACCUGCAAGCAGCGAGUAACAAGAUCGAUCGCUACUUCGUAUUAUAUCACGUACGGCUUUUAGGUGAAGUCAGAAAAUUCAAUCGCGUCAGAAAGUUAAGGCGGGAUGGAUAACUGAAGGGGAAAAUUCUCGAGGAAAGUUGCGCGUCUCAUGCAAUAUGCAAUGUACGGAUAAUGUUGAAUAAAAUGCGUGCAAAUAGUCAUAAAGGUAGAGGGAGAAAAAAAUACGAUAAUCCAGAUAAGCUAUCGUGUUUAUUGCCUCUUAACUGUAACUUGCUUUCAAAGUUAGUUCUGAGCUAAACUAGAAAGUGUGACGUAUGUUUGGCGAGAGAUACACGCGGCACCUGCACGUGUCGCAAGACGCGUUGCUGCGCGCUACGAAAGUAGAAGGAAAAAAAAAAAAGAACAGAGUCCAUUGCGAGGCUUGCAAUAAUUUAGUAAUCGGAUCUGAGGCACUCGUAUUAAAGUACUUGUGUGUCGCAAUUGAUUCGACAAGCGGGGACUUUAUACUACCGUUAUACAACAAAAUUGUAUCGUGAAUGUUGCAUCAAAUAUCACUGAUUUAAUAAC